UACGGAGGGUGCAAGCGUUAAUCGGAAUUACUGGGCGUAAAGCGCGCGUAGGCGGUUUUUUAAGUCGGAUGUGAAAGCCCCGGGCUCAACCUGGGAACUGCAUCCGAUACUGGAAGACUAGAAUGCGGGAGAGGGAGGUAGAAUUCCAUGUGUAGCAGUGAAAUGCGUAGAUAUAUGGAGGAAUACCAGUGGCGAAGGCGGCCUCCUAGCUCGACAUUGACGCUGAGGUGCGAAAGCGUGGGGAGCAAACGGG
rnacentral:rRNA from 1 species